rnacentral:lncRNA from 14 species
AGCAAAUUAAAACUCAAAAAAAACCCUCACCUGCAAAGCAUGUGUAAGGAACUCAUUUUAAUGCUUUCAAGCUGAAGUCACUGGGACAGCAGCCCAAAAAAAGAGCGACAAAGGUAUCUGGAGAUGUUUUUUACACUUUCUCCACUGGUUUCUUCACUGAGAUGCAGUCCUCGGAGUCUGAUAAUCCAUCAACAACUUCUUGAGGCACCCGGAUAAAAAUAGUCAUGGAUUGCUUUGCUGCUCCUCCUGUUUUGCUGCCCUGGAGAUACAACAGUUCCUGAAGAUUCAGAAGCGAUUUGGUUCCAGGCUGUAUUUAAACAUAACUUUAUUAUGUGGGUAGAACAAUAAAAAAAUGAAUUAGAC